GAUGAACGCUCCCGGGAGGCCUAACACAUGCAAGCCGAGCGGUAGAAGAUCUUCGGAUCUUUGAGAGCGGCGCACGGGUGCGGAACACGUGUGCAACCUGCCUUUAUCUGGGGGAUAGCCUUUCGAAAGGAAGAUUAAUACCCCAUAAUAUAUUUUACGGCAUCGUAAUAUAUUGAAAACUCCGGUGGAUAGAGAUGGGCACGCGCAAGAUUAGAUAGUUGGUGAGGUAACGGCUCACCAAGUCAAUGAUCUUUAGGGGGCCUGAGAGGGUGAUCCCCCACACUGGUACUGAGACACGGACCAGACUCCUACGGGAGGCAGCAGUGAGGAAUAUUGGACAAUGGGUGAGAGCCUGAUCCAGCCAUCCCGCGUGAAGGACUAAGGCCCUAUGGGUUGUAAACUUCUUUUAUACUGGGAUAAACCUACUUACGUGUAAGUAGCUGAAGGUACAGUAUGAAUAAGCACCGGCUAACUCCGUGCCAGCAGCCGCGGUAAUACGGAGGGUGCAAGCGUUAUCCGGAUUUAUUGGGUUUAAAGGGUCCGUAGGCGGAUCUGUAAGUCAGUGGUGAAAUCUCAUAGCUUAACUUUGAAACUGCCAUUGAUACUGCAGGUCUUGAGUGAGAUUGAGGUAGCUGGAAUAAGUAGUGUAGCGGUGAAAUGCAUAGAUAUUACUUAGAACACCAAUUGCGAAGGCAGGUUACCAAGUCUUAACUGACGCUGAUGGACGAAAGCGUGGGGAGCGAACAGGAUUAGAUACCCUGGUAGUCCACGCCGUAAACGAUGCUAACUCGUUUUUGGGCCUUCGGGUUCAGAGACUAAGCGAAAGUGAUAAGUUAGCCACCUGGGGAGUACGAUCGCAAGAUUGAAACUCAAAGGAAUUGACGGGGGCCCGCACAAGCGGUGGAGCAUGUGGUUUAAUUCGAUGAUACGCGAGGAACCUUACCAAGACUUAAAUGGGAAAUGACAGAUUUAGAAAUAGAUCCUUCUUCGGACAUUUUUCAAGGUGCUGCAUGGUUGUCGUCAGCUCGUGCCGUGAGGUGUUAGGUUAAGUCCUGCAACGAGCGCAACCCCUGUCACUAGUUGCUAACAUUCAGUUGAGGACUCUAGUGAGACUGCCUACGCAAGUAGAGAGGAAGGUGGGGAUGACGUCAAAUCAUCACGGCCCUUACGUCUUGGGCCACACACGUGCUACAAUGGCCAGUACAGAGGGCAGCUACCAGGUGACUGGAUGCGAAUCUCGAAAGCUGGUCUCAGUUCGGAUUGGAGUCUGCAACUCGACUCUAUGAAGCUGGAAUCGCUAGUAAUCGCGCAUCAGCCAUGGCGCGGUGAAUACGUUCCCGGGCCU
rnacentral:rRNA from 1 species